rnacentral:tRNA from 1 species
AGUUAAUAAGUUUUAUAGAAACGUAUACCUUGAAAGUAUAAUAAAGAGAUUAAUAUCUCUAUUAACUU